UACGGGGGGGGUAAGCGUUGUUCGGAAUUACUGGGCGUAAAGGGCUCGUAGGCGGCCAACUAAGUCGGACGUGAAAUCCCUCAGCUUAACUGGGGAACUGCGUCUGAUACUGGAUGGCUUGGAUUUGGGAGAGGGAUGCGGAAUUCCAGGUGUAGCGGUGAAAUGCGUAGAUAUCUGGAGGAACACCGGUGGCUAAGGCGGCAUCCUGGACCAACAUUGACGCUGAGGAGCGAAAGCCAGGGGAGCAAACGGG
rnacentral:rRNA from 1 species